AGGAUCUACCUAGUAGUACGGAAUAAUUGUUGGAAACGGCAACUAAUACCGUAUACGCCCUACGGGGGAAAAAUUUAUUGCUAUUAGAUGAGCCUAUAUUAGAUUAGCUAGUUGGUGGAGUAAUAGCCUACCAAGGCAAUGAUCUAUAGCUGAUCUGAGAGGAUGAUCAGCCACACUGGAACUGAGAUACGGUCCAGACUCCUACGGGAGGCAGCAGUGGGGAAUAUUGGACAAUGGGCGAAAGCCUGAUCCAGCCAUGCCGCAUGAGUGAAGAAGGCCUUUGGGUUGUAAAGCUCUUUUAGUGAGGAAGAUAAUGACGGUACUCACAGAAGAAGUCCUGGCUAACUCCGUGCCAGCAGCCGCGGUAAUACGGAGAGGGCUAGCGUUAUUCGGAAUUAUUGGGCGUAAAGGGCGCGUAGGCUGGUUAAUAAGUUAAAAGUGAAAUCCCGAGGCUUAACCUUGGAAUUGCUUUUAAAACUAUUAAUCUAGAGAUUGAAAGAGGAUAGAGGAAUUCCUGAUGUAGAGGUAAAAUUCGUAAAUAUUAGGAGGAACACCAGUGGCGAAGGCGUCUAUCUGGUUCAAAUCUGACGCUGAAGCGCGAAGGCGUGGGGAGCAAACAGGAUUAGAUACCCUGGUAGUCCACGCUGUAAACGAUGAAUGUUAAAUAUGGGAAGUUUACUUUCUGUAUUACAGCUAACGCGUUAAACAUUCCGCCUGGGGACUACGGUCGCAAGAUUAAAACUCAAAGGAAUUGACGGGGACCCGCACAAGCGGUGGAGCAUGUGGUUUAAUUCGAUGCAACGCGAAAAACCUUACCACUUCUUGACAUGAAAAUCAUACCCUAUU
rnacentral:rRNA from 1 species